GCCUUUUACGACAAGCAUGGCUCGCUGAAGACCCAUUCUAUCCCGGAUCUACACUUGGGAUUAUCCAAGACAAACGAGACAAACGAGCUUGAAGAUCGAAAGUUGUGAAAUGGCCUCAACCUCUGGUCACUGAUGUACACUUGCUGUGGACUUGACACGGAAUGUGACUGUUUCCCCUUUCAUGUUGAUUGUUUGUUUCACUCAAAGUGUAUAACAAUGAAGCAUGUCUUUGUGUA